rnacentral:lncRNA from 1 species
GGGAGAGGCUGUGCAGAUCCCGGCACUGGAAAGGGGCUUGGAGAAACGGCCACUGCAGUUCACGCUCCACACCCAGCCCACGGGGAGCUUGCCUGCGUUCCUGGACUCAGGAGCUGAUUGGUCCUGCCCAGCUGGACCAGUGGCUGCGUCAGGGUCUGUUUGCCUCCACGGAAGAGUCCCCAGGGGGCUUGCUUGCCCCUCUGAAAAUCCGUGGUCUGCUUUUGUUAUCAAGGAAUGACAGAGGAUUCUAGAGUCGUCCAUAUGAAAGGUGAAUAGCUAGACGAUCUCACGCCUGAGCAGGCCACGGGAGGGUCGCCACAGGUGGGCUAAGCAGCAUCUCCCCACCCCCCACCCCGUCGUGCUGUUGCGGUGACCCUCCGUCCCUGCAUCUCUCUUUUUCUUUAUUUUAGGUGAUGACACUGCGAUCUGCCGUCUCAGCAAGUCUCAAGUUCGCGUUUUGGGCCGUGGUCAGGCUACUGCGCGUUGGAUCUCCUUCCCCGUGGGUGGCUGUGGCUCCAGGCCCCGUGGUCGGCAGCUCCCGCAGGCCCUCCCGUCCUCUGCCUGCGCAGUCUGAGUUUGGCAGUCUCAGAUUCCGCAAGCGGGCAUCAGAGUGCAGGGCGCCGGACAUGGAGGGCUACUCUGGCAGCGGCCACUUCUGGAUCAGGCCAGGCAGUGUGGGCUGGGCAGCGGCGGAAUGGAGAGGCUGUGGCUGA